UCUUUACAGAUUCAGACCCCACAAGCCCUCCUUCCACUCCGGUCACUCAAGAAGCAGAAUCCUCGAGGCCCCCUUCCACUCCGCUCUCUCAAGAUAACAUGGCAACAGCAAGGGUCAAACUAAAUGUACCCAAAGGAGUGAAUCUUGAGGACCCCAAAGUGUACGAAGCCAUUUUAGAGCAGAUUCGGGAGCAUCUCUCCAAGAACUUUCCAAUGGACGGUGUUAAUCUGCGCUGGAGAAGACAAGACGGAGAGAUAUUCCACAAGGAUGAAGAGGAGGAGAAGGAGAAGUACUUCAUGCCGUGAGAUACCUGCGCCCACAAUGACAAGCGAGGGCUUUCAGCGAUAGAGCCGUCGAUGCGGGCUCUGCCGUGUGGUAGAUGACUGCAUCUGGAGUUUUGAGUCCUGAGCUGAGGGUGCUAAUGAAAGUCAAGGUCAUCUACCACACGGUACAGCCCACAUCAAGAGGGCUCUAUCACUAUUAAAACAUGAUUUAAUUCUUUAUUUUCUCUUAAAAAAAAAACAACAACUUUAAAACCUAUAUUUACGUUGAACUUCUGAUAUUUCGGCAGAUAACCUUCCGCUGAGGAAGAUAGUCCCUAACAUAAUUAGAAUAGAAAAAUGACAUGCGCGUAGAUAAAACCGUUAUUAUCAUUAUUAUUAUUAUGACAUUGCCAGAUAAAUUAACUGUAGGCUUGUUGAAUAGUCUGUGUAGUAUUGAGGCAGACUCAAAACUUGUUAUUAUCAUUAUUAUUAUUAUGACAUUGCCAGAUAAAUUAACUGUAGGCUUGUUGAAUAGUCUGUGUAGUAUUGAGGCAGACUCAAAACUUGUUAUUAUCAUUAUUAUUAUUAUGACAUUGCCAGAUAAAUUAACUGUAGGCUUGUUGAAUAGUCUGUGUAGUAUUGAGGCAGACUCAAAACUUGUUAGAGGCGGGGCGUCAUUCAAGCUGGCAGGGAGUGGAUUGGCUGCUGUGGAAAGAACUGAAGCAGGGUUGGCAGUUUAACUGGCUGGUUUUGAUGGAGGGUGUUGUUUGGAUCCAGCUGAUGACAGAAUUGUGGACCAGUCGUGUCUUUCCUGUUGAUUUUCUGUGAAUUGAGCCUUCAUUACGCUGUCUUGUCACACACAUGAUUUUGCUUGUCUCUAGACCAACGUCAGAAAGUGUGUUUAAGUAGUUUUUUAUGUGAUCAGAUUAGUUGUAGAUUAGAGUGUUAAGGGAGAAAGCUGGUAUUUAUGCACAGAUUGAUUUAAAAUGGAAUUCACAGCUAAGCACUUCAACGUUGCAACAUUCCGGAAGCCCGCUAGAUCUGGAAGCUGAUUGGCUGUUCGCACUCAAUUUUCUGCUGGUUAAUAUUCAUCUGACAUUAUCUACUGGUGUUUUUUUUUUUUUUAAUUUUAUGAUAAUUUAAAUAUAUCUUCAAUUAUUUACUGGUGCUGCACAUUUAUAGUAAGUUGAUAGUGAGUGUGUGUGUGUGUUUUAAUGUAAUGAUAAUUUAAAUAUAUAUUUAGGGCUUCGGAUUUUCAGUUUUAACCCCUGAUACAAAAAGAUUUAAUCGGUUAACAGACAAUAAACACCAGAAAAACUGUGGAAAUGGUUAAUCUAUGCAUGUUGACUGUACCCUUUUCACAUUUAAAAAAAUCAAACCCUGUGAAUACAUUUCACAGGGCUGCUGGGCAAUGUCCUGCCUUCCUGACUUGUGUCUAUCAUUGAUUCGUUCUGAAUACUUUAAACCCGCCCCAACUACUGAGUGACAGCACAUUCCUACGUUUCUAUUGGAGACUCCGCUGGCGAGAUUUAAAACGAGAUUACACUCAGGAUGGAAGCUUGUUAGCGGGAUUUCAAGCUGUAUUACAGUUAAGAUACGGAGGAUUUAAAACUGAAUUGUGACAAUGUACACAAAUUCCUGAACACAAACCCCAGAAGAAUGUGCCCGUGACCAUAGGGAUUUCGUUGUGGAAGACAGCAAAGGAAAGAAGGUACAACUUAAGUGUGCAAGUACUGUCGAGUUACUACUAUACAUAUUGUCACACACACACAAAAAAGCAUUUUGGAAAGUAACCAAAAACACUAAUUUCAUACAGAAUAUCAAAAACGAAAGCCCCGAAAAAAAAACGAUUGACAUAAAACUCGAAUAGCUAAAAAUAAGCACCGAAAAAUACAAUUAAUAAAACCCGAAAAACAGAAGCCCUAAAUAUAUUCAAUUAUUUACUGGUGCAGCACAUAUUUAUAUUAAGGUGAUGGGGUGUGUGUUUUUAAUUUAAUGAUAAUUUAAAUAUAUGUUCAAUUAUUUACUGGUGCAGCACAUAUUUAUAUUAAGGUGAUGGGGUGUGUGUUUUUAAUUUAAUGAUAAUUUAAAUAUAUGUUCAGUUAUUUACUGGUGCAGCACAUAUUUAUAUUAAGGUGAGGUGUGUGUGUUUUAAUGUAGUAAAUGAUUCUAAUAGAGGUUACAUUAGUUACUGGUGCAAGUUUCUUUCACCUUGUAAAGAAUAUAUUCAGAGUGGUAACAGAGUAAUAGGCCUCUUCCCCAUGGCAUGGCAGAGCAUGGAUUCACAGAAUGAAUGUACAAUUUGCAGUGUACUAUUAAAUCCUAUAGAGGGCACCACAAACACAUUUACUGAGGGAGGAAGGGAGCAAGCUCCUGUAUAAUUAUACAAUCACCUGGAAGGUCUUGAUGCUGCAGUACAUUACAAACAGCAGCCAGGAUACAGGUGUUGAAUUGCUUAUCAGGAGGACAGGGCUAAGGUAGAUGGCAGAUGAAGGACAGUUCUCUUUUUCACAUGAUCCUCCAGUGCAAUGACAUGGGCAGCUCCAGCCUGGUCACUCUGAGCCUCUGUCUGGUAAGUGAGACGAGUUGUCCUAGUGCAGCUCAGCAAGCUGGUCUCUUCCAGUCCAGGUCUGCGUUCCAACCAUGGCUGCGUUUCUACCUGGAGGAAAAGCCCUCCAGGACUGGAGCCUGUCGCAAUGCAAGUGAAGCUGCAGCAUAUACUAGCACUGUGGCGCCCCCUAUGGUUUUUAAAUAGGUCUGCAUUAUCACACAGAAAUAUAUGUGCAGUCUGCAGGGUGCAAUGCAACAUGGGGUGAAGUCAUUAAGGCUAUGAGUAGGGUGGUUUGCUACAGCUUAUGAUUUCAAUGGAAAUGUCUUAUUUUUUCUGAUAUUUAAUUUACAUUGCUGUAAAAAACAUAAAAAUAACAGGGUCACUGACUCAGUUUUAUUUCUCAUUAUAGUGUAUGGGGAGCAGGGGAGGGGACCCAGAUCCAUGCAUUCAUGAAACAUGUUCCUCUCAUGCAAACACAUAGAAAUCACACGAGCUGUACCAAAGAAUAUGUGCGAUUCAUGUCAUUGUAUUGUAUGAAGGGUUGUGCAUGACAACGAUACUCUACUACUCUGUAUUUCUGAAUGUAUUUUUGCUGAUUUAUUUCAAUAAAGUUUCAAUCUCAA